CCCUUAGAUGUCCGGGGCUGCACGCGCGCUACACUGUAGAAAGCAGCGUGCUUUAAAACCUUUCCUGAAAAGGAUGGGUAACCCCAGCAAAAUUCUACGUGCUUGGGAUAGAGAUUUGCAAUUUUCUCUCUUGAACGAGGAAUUCCCAGUAAGUGCGAGUCAUCAGCUCGCGUUGAUUACGUCCCUGCCCUUUGUACACACCGCCCGUCGCUACUACCGUUUGGGAAAAUUUUAGAGAGUCCUGGACUGAUGAUUGUUCGGCUUCACGGCCUUACUUUCGUCGGGAAAGAAUUCGAUAAUAUUUUUCUAGAGGAAGUAAAAGUCGUAACA
rnacentral:rRNA from 1 species